AUGAACGCUAGCUACAGGCUUAACACAUGCAAGUCGAGGGGCAGCAUGAACUUAGCUUGCUAAGUUUGAUGGCGACCGGCGCACGGGUGAGUAACACGUAUCCAACCUGCCGAUGACUCGGGGAUAGCCUUUCGAAAGAAAGAUUAAUACCCGAUGGCAUAGUUCUUCCGCAUGGUAGAACUAUUAAAGAAUUUCGGUCAUCGAUGGGGAUGCGUUCCAUUAGGUUGUUGGCGGGGUAACGGCCCACCAAGCCUUCGAUGGAUAGGGGUUCUGAGAGGAAGGUCCCCCACAUUGGAACUGAGACACGGUCCAAACUCCUACGGGAGGCAGCAGUGAGGAAUAUUGGUCAAUGGACGAGAGUCUGAACCAGCCAAGUAGCGUGAAGGAUGACUGCCCUAUGGGUUGUAAACUUCUUUUAUACGGGAAUAAAGUGAGGCACGUGUGCCUUUUUGUAUGUACCGUAUGAAUAAGGAUCGGCUAACUCCGUGCCAGCAGCCGCGGUAAUACGGAGGAUCCGAGCGUUAUCCGGAUUUAUUGGGUUUAAAGGGAGCGUAGGCGGACGCUUAAGUCAGUUGUGAAAGUUUGCGGCUCAACCGUAAAAUUGCAGUUGAUACUGGGUGUCUUGAGUACAGUAGAGGCAGGCGGAAUUCGUGGUGUAGCGGUGAAAUGCUUAGAUAUCACGAAGAACUCCGAUUGCGAAGGCAGCUUGCUGGACUGUAACUGACGCUGAUGCUCGAAAGUGUGGGUAUCAAACAGGAUUAGAUACCCUGGUAGUCCACACAGUAAACGAUGAAUACUCGCUGUUUGCGAUAUACAGUAAGCGGCCAAGCGAAAGCGUUAAGUAUUCCACCUGGGGAGUACGCCGGCAACGGUGAAACUCAAAGGAAUUGACGGGGGCCCGCACAAGCAGCGGAGCAUGUGGUUUAAUUCGACGCAACGCGAAGAACCUUACCAGGUCUUGACAUCCUACUAACGAGAUAGAGAUAUGUUAGGUGCCCUUCGGGGAAAGUAGAGACAGGUGGUGCAUGGUUGUCGUCAGCUCGUGUCGUGAGAUGUUGGGUUAAGUCCCGCAACGAGCGCAACCCUUGCUAUUAGUUGCUACGCAAGAGCACUCUAAUAGGACUGCCGUUGACAAAACGGAGGAAGGUGGGGACGACGUCAAAUCAUCAUGCCCCUUAUGACCUGGGCUACACACGUACUACAAUGGCGUUUAACAAAGAGAAGCAAGACCGCGAGGUGGAGCAAAACUCAAAAACAACGUCUCAGUUCAGAUUGCAGGCUGCAACUCGCCUGCAUGAAGUCGGAAUUGCUAGUAAUCGCGGAUCAGCACGCCGCGGUGAAUACGUUCCCGGGCCUUGUACACACCGCCCGUCACACCACGAGAGUUUGUAACACCCGAAGUCGGUGAGGUAACCUUUUGGAGCCAGCCGCCUAAGGUGGGACAGAUGAUUGGGGUG
rnacentral:rRNA from 1 species